rnacentral:rRNA from 1 species
UACCAGCACCCCGAGUGGUCGGGACGUUUAUUGGGCCUAAAGCAUCCGUAGCCGGUUCUACAAGUCUUCCGUUAAAUCCAACUGCUUAACAGGUGGGCUGCGGAAGAUACUAUAGAGCUAGGAGGCGGGAGAGGCAAGCGGUACUCGAUGGGUAGGGGUAAAAUCUGUUGAUCCAUUGAAGACCACCAGUGGCGAAGGCGGCUUGCCAGAACGCGCUCGACGGUGAGGGAUGAAAGCUGGGGGAGCAAACCGG